CUUCCCCCUCCCCCUCCCCCUCUCCGACAGAACCUUCGGGAAGCAGCAGCGUGUCGGGUCGGUCGGAACGAGGCGGCAGUCGGGCAAUCGCCGGAGCCUUCCCGCGUUCAGGUACAGCCGAGUGUCCGAUGAGGAUGACACCAAGCGAUGACGUCACACUCAAACUCCGUCAGCUGAUUAAGAAAAACAAAAGAAAAUCGCUGGAUGUCGCGAGUGACCGUUACUGGGUUAUUAACGUACAAACAGUUUGAAUAUUUGAAUAAUCUGAUUUUUUUUCUUUGUACUAGUUCGUCAUGGAAAUAGUAGUAGAAGUACAAGUAGAUACACUCAAUGCGCACUUAGAAUAGAGAUUAGAUUUGUGCACGAAGCUUCAGAUAAAGUGACAGGUAUUAUUAUAUAGAUUUACUAACAAUGCUUUUUUUUAUAUAGUAGUUUUCACUUUUAAGAAAGAAACAGAACCUAUUUUUUUCAGUUUUGUAAAACGCGUGCUUGCGCACACACACACACACGUGUAUAUAAUGCAUUUUUUUUUCUACAAUACCGAAUUAUAUACCCUCAUCUUUCACUUUUCAGCCAUUUUCCAUCAUAAAAAUUUAAUAUCGCCUCAUUAACGACAUUCAUCACUCAGAAAGUUUGAUGAAUUUAAUUAUUUUUGCUAUUCAGAUGAAACAAUAAAAUUUGUAUUUGU